rnacentral:snRNA from 1 species
AGCUUUGCGCAGUGGCAGUAUUGUAGCCAGGGAGAUUUAUCUGAGGCGCGAUUACUGCUAAUUGAAAACUUUUCCCAAUACCCCGCCAUGACAACUUGAAAUAUAGUCAGCAUUGGCAAUUUUUGGCAGUCUCUACAGAGA